UACGAAGGGGCUAGCGUUGCUCGGAAUCACUGGGCGUAAAGGGUGCGUAGGCGGGUCUUUAAGUCAGGGUGAAAUCGUGGAGCUCAACUCCAGAACUGCCCUUGAUACUGAGGAUCUUGAGUUCGGGAGAGGUGAGUGGAACUGCGAGUGUAGAGGUGAAAUUCGUAGAUAUUCGCAAGAACACCAGUGGCGAAGGCGGCUCACUGGCCCGAUACUGACGCUGAGGUGCGAAAGCGUGGG
rnacentral:rRNA from 1 species